GUGGGCCACACAGGACAAUUCCCUGCUCUGUCUACCAUGAUGAAGACAAAAAAAAUAAAAAAAUAAAAACCCCACACUAUCGCCACUGCUCGAAGGUACUCAGCCUGUCAGCUGGCUGCUAAAAACCACAAGCCAGGCGGGCAACAGCCAGAGAAGAACAGAACCCAGACGCGACCAGACCCACUCACAAGGCCCAUGCAGCAUAACCGAAAGUUGGUGGGAGCCUGAAUCUGAGUGCCAAGCGAAGCACUGUAACAUUAUCAGCGCACAUUUGGGGGCUAACUACAUUAUCCCACAUUAUCUAACAACAUUAUCCACUGAGACAUAUGUGAUCAUCUCAGCUGUUACGGCUAACUGCUCCUCCCCUCCCGAGCCAAAUUCGUCCUACAGAGAGGAAAAGAGUAAUAGGAUGAUAUAAAAAACAGCUGGCCACACCUACCUGGAAAGCUGGAGCCACCCAACACGAGUGGCCGGGUGACCCGGGUCACCCACGUGGGGUCAGGCUGUAGCCUACUCUUCGCUCGGUGCCUUUUGAUGUUACAUGGCAAUCACACCUGCCGCCGUCCCGUGAGCCGGGUUCGUUGCGGACAGACAGCCGUCACGGUCGGUAGCCACGCUCCUAGCCCCCGCUGUGUAUCCGCGGAGGAACAGUGAGGAGGGGACGACGAAGAAAAUGAAGAAAACCAGCAAAGGGGGAAAGGAAAUGCAAAUUAAAUAACCUGAACACUUUCACCUUAUU